CCUGACGAAUGGGCUGCAGAGAGGCAACGGGGAUUAAGGAAUAUUCUGCAGCGGUGCGGGAGAUUUGCAGCUGGGAGACGGGCAGAGAAGUACGCCGGAUGUCGGGCGGGGAGCGAGAUACCUGACACACUCUUGGGCUUAGGAUGGCAGCGGGAAGAGUUCAGUGCUCUGCCCUUGUGGGCGGCGGCCGGCGAGACCUGGUGGAGAUGCUGCGGUCUUCGCUAUUUUAACGGACCAUUUUUGGGACUUUUAGUUUUUCGGUUUUAGUGGACUUUUUAUAUUAAUAUCCUAUUUUGCUUUUUUAUUUUAUUUUAAUAAGUGUUGUCCCUGGCCAGGGUAUUUUAUUCGAAAUAAAUUAUAUUUUUAAAAACGUAAA